rnacentral:RNase_P_RNA from 1 species
GAAGUUGACCAAAACAGUCGCUGUUUAGUUUGAUAAAAAUUAAAAAGAGGAAAGUCCGGGCUCCAUAGAGCAAGGUGCCAGGUAAUACCUGGAAAGUGUAAACUUAUGACUAGUGCAACAGAAAAAAAACCACCAAAAAUAUUAAAAAUGGAAAGGGUGAAAAGGUGUGGUAAGAGCACACCGCACAUAUUGGUAACAAUUGUGGCAAGGUAAACUCCACCUGGAGCAAAGCAUAAUAUAUGUUAGUUGUAUUGCUCGUACUUAAAAACCUGGGUAGGCUGCUUGAGUUAGUAAGUGAUUACUAUCCUAGAUA